AUUGAACGCUGGCGGCAGGCUUAACACAUGCAAGUCGAGCGGAGAUGAGGUGCUUGCACCUUAUCUUAGCGGCGGACGGGUGAGUAAUGCUUAGGAAUCUGCCUAUUAGUGGGGGACAACAUUCCGAAAGGAAUGCUAAUACCGCAUACGUCCUACGGGAGAGAGCAGGGGAUCUUCGGACCUUGCGCUAAUAGAUGAGCCUAAGUCGGAUUAGCUAGUUGGGGGGGGAAAGGCCUACCAAGGCGACGAUCUGUAGCGGGUCUGAGAGGAUGAUCCGCCACACUGGGACUGGGACACGGCCCAGACUCCUACGGGAGGCAGCAGUGGGGAAUAUUGGACAAUGGGGGAAACCCUGAUCCAGCCAUGCCGCGUGUGUGAAGAAGGCCUUAUGGUUGUAAAGCACUUUAAGCGAGGAGGAGGCUACUGAGACUAAUACUCUUGGAUAGUGGACGUUACUCGCAGAAUAAGCACCGGCUAACUCUGUGCCAGCCGCCGCAGUAA
rnacentral:rRNA from 1 species